GCCCGUGGCGGGAAGCCAGAGGCAGAGAGCAUCCCAGAAUUUGGCUCUGGAGGCCCAUCUCUGAACCCAAAAAGAGUUUGGAAUUACCCUGACGUCCGAUACCAUAUUGGGCACCCUCCGCUAGCCCUCUCUGGCCAGGUCCCUGGGCAGGCUGCCUGGGCAGGCUGCCUGGGCUGGGCCUUCUGCAGAACAAAUGGCGCCGGCCAUGCACCCCCACUCAAGGCGUGGCGGGGGUGAAGCCAUGCUCUCUCCUCAUUCCCCCUUGGAGUGAGUGCCAGCUGCCAGGCUCAGGACUUGCAGGUGCUAAGCUGAGGCAAAGGGUCUGAGUGACUUCCGCAGGGAGAAUCAUGCCGUUGGGUGAAAGACCCCUCAGGGUGGAGACCUGGCCUGCAACCAGGCACCCCAGCCUGGAGGAGACAGGUUGCACCCUGGGGGCACCUCUUGUUGCAGGAGAUCCUCGCCUUGUCUGCGAGGCCCUCGCCGUUGACCCACUGGCCUCCUCCAGGCUCAGGUGGGCUCUCCCUCCAGGGCUGCGUGGAGCAGGUCCUGUCCUAACCCCAGGACCUUAAGGGCGGAGUCUGUGACUUCCCCUUGGAGCGAGCGCCUCAGUGAAUGAACCAGUGAGAAGAAAUGAACAAAUGAGUGAACAAAGGAAUGGAAAAGGGGCUUCCCCUGCCACGGAGGGGCUGAGUCAGUGAGACCACGAGAUGGUGAAGGAUCUUGCCCCAGCAGGAGUGAGUGGGGAGCUCGGGGUUCCGGGGCGACCCUGGGGGACAGAGGCGGCGGCAGCAGCAGCAGCAGGAAGGCGGCCUCGAUGGAUGGCCGGGGAAAGGGGCUGCGCUGCCCAUCAUCCAGAGAGGACCCGGAGGGCCGAGGGGUCCUUUUCCCCAAGCACAGCCCCCCAUCGUCUGUCCAGACUCCUGUGUGCCCUUAGGCUCCAUCCGUGGCCACGCUCGAGGAGAACCCGCCUGGCCCCUGCCCUGGGGUUUUCUUGGCAGGAUUCUCCUUGGAGGCUGUUUCUCUUGGAUGAAGCCUCCCUCUGACCCCUCCCCCCUC